rnacentral:rRNA from 1 species
ACGAACUGCGCGAACGUUAUUCGGAAUCAUUGGGCUUAAAGAGUUCGUAGGCGGCCUGAUAAGUUGGGUGUGAAAUCCCUCGGCUCAACCGAGGAACUGCGCUCAAUACUGUCAGGCUUGAGGGAGACAGAGGUGAGUGGAACUGAUGGUGGAGCGGUGAAAUGCGUUGAUAUCAUCAGGAACACCGGUGGCGAAAGCGGCUCACUGGGUCUCUUCUGACGCUGAGGAACGAAAGCUAGGGGAGCGAACGGG